rnacentral:rRNA from 1 species
CCUACGUGAGGCUGCAGUGAGGAAUAUUGGUCAAUGGCCGGAAGGCUGAACCAGCCAAGCCGCGUGAAGGACGAAGGUGCCAAGCAUUGUAAACUUCUUUUGUCAAGGGACAAAAUCAGGCUCGAGAGCCUGACCGAGGGUACUUGAAGAAAAAGCAUCGGCUAACUCCGUGCCAGCAGCCGCGGUAAUACGGAGGCUGCGAGCGUUAUCCGGAUUUAUUGGGUUUAAGGGGUGCGUAGGCGGACUGUUAAGUCAGCGGUAAAAGCCCGGGGCUCAACCCCGGCGAGCCGUUGAAACUGGCUGUUUUGAGAUGUCGAGAGGUAUGCGGAAUGCGCAGUGUAGCGGUGAAAGGCUUAGAUAUUGCGCAGAACUCCGAUUGCGAAGGCAGCAUACCGGCGGCGAUCUGACGCUGAGGCACGAAAGCGUGGGUAUCGAACAGGAUUAGAUACCCUGGUAGUC